GCAAAGGUUCCCUCUCCUAGUGUGGUCCGCCGCUCACCGCUCGGGACUCCAGCGGCUCAGGGGCCGGUCUCUGGGACGCGGGCACUGCCCAGGGUGACAGCACGGGAGCAUGGCCGUGCACAUGGGCAGGCUGAGCGCGGGCCCCUGCUGGCGCGCGGCGCGGGGCUGCUGCCGGGAGCUGCGCGCUUGGGCCCCACGCAGCGCGGCGGGACGCCUCUGCCGGCCGCCUGGCACCGCGGGCCCCGAGCAGAGCCGCGGGCUGGGGCACGGCCCGAAGGCUCGAGGUGGUCCCCGGCUGAGGACCGGGCUGGCCGCGGGGCUGGCCGGGCUGGCGGGGCUGGCGGCCGCCGCCUUUGGGCACGUGGAGCGGGCAGAGAUGGUGCGCAAGAGUUCGGGGGCGCAGAGCCCCUCGCCGGGGAAGCCUGAGGAGGAGGACGACGAGUUGGCCCGCCGCUGCAGCUGCUUCAUGGCUUUGCCUGUGACCGACCUGCGCGAGCUGAGGGGGAGGCCGGGAGACAUGAAGACCAAGAUGGAGCUGCUGAUCCUGGAGACCCAGGCCCAGGUGUGCCAGGCGCUGGCACAGGUGGACGGGGGCGCCCGCUUCUCCGUGGACCGGUGGGAGAGGAAGGAAGGAGGUGGUGGCAUCAGCUGUGUACUUCAAGACGGGCGUGUUUUUGAAAAGGCUGGGGUGAGCAUUUCUGUUGUUCAUGGAAAUCUUUCAGAGGAAGCAGCAAAACAAAUGAGAAGUAGAGGAAAAAUACUGAAGACGAAAGAUGGUAAAUUGCCGUUUUCUGCUAUGGGUGUGAGCUCUGUUAUCCACCCUAAGAAUCCUCAUGCUCCUACUAUCCAUUUCAACUACAGAUACUUUGAAGUAGAAGAAGCUGAUGGUAACAAGCAGUGGUGGUUUGGUGGUGGAUGUGACCUUACACCAACAUACUUGAACCAAGAGGAUGCGGUGCAUUUUCACAGGACUCUAAAGGAGGCUUGUGACCAGCAUGGUCCAGAUCUCUACCCCAAAUUUAAAAAAUGGUGUGACGAUUACUUUUUUAUAGCCCAUCGUGGGGAACGGAGGGGCAUCGGGGGUAUCUUUUUUGAUGACCUUGACUCUCCAUCCAAAGAGGAGGUGUUUCGCUUUGUGCAGAGCUGUGCCCAGGCUGUCAUUCCUUCUUACAUUCCCCUUGUGAAAAAGCACUGUGAUGACUCCUUCACCCCCCAGGAGAAGUUGUGGCAGCAGCUCCGGAGAGGACGGUAUGUAGAAUUUAACCUGCUGUAUGAUCGAGGUACAAAGUUUGGCCUCUUCACCCCAGGAUCCAGGAUAGAAAGCAUCUUGAUGUCUUUACCUCUAACUGCCCGAUGGGAAUACAUGCAUUCACCCUCAGAGAACUCCAAAGAAGCUGAAAUUCUGGAAGUUCUGCGCCAUCCAAGGGACUGGGUGCAUUGAUGCAGAGUCUGUAUUGCUAAUUUCACCCUCAAAAGGAUGCAUGAUCCUGAAAAGGCUGAGGACCACUCAUCUAAAUUGGGAGGGUGUCUAUACCCCAGGGCGUGCAAGAGAUAUUUCAGUGAGGAAAGGAAAAGAGGCUGUAAAGCUGAUGAACUGAAACUUCAGUUCUGGCUGCAGAUGGAUGCGAGAGUUUACGGACAUCACAGCCUUCCCAUGAGUCGGGAGAGGAGGGGCACAGAGAUGAAAGGCAAGGGGAAAACUGAAAAAGCAGAAGAACUGAGGGCACAAGAUUUGUGUUCUGAUCUUGGCUCUAUCAUUUCCUGAUGAGUGAUCUUGAGAACUCCCUAAAACUUGUUUUCCUCACCUGAGUAACAAGCUUAAUAAAAGCAUCCCACCAGUCCUUUAAUGAGGAUAAAUUGAGAUAACAUAUGAGGACAUGCUUCAUUAAUGGAAAUAAUACAAAAAUGUUUGUUAUUCGUCACAAAAAAGGCAGAUGUGCUUUUGAAACAUUUAGAGUCCAGAUUGACAGUGGGAUCAGUCUGUCUGUUUUCUCUCCUUUUCCAUUAACUCUGUGUCUGAACUUUCUCAUCUCUAAAAUUGGGAUAACAAUAUUUACUUCUCCAGGUUGUUUUAAGGAUUAAAAUGGAUAGGCUUGUAAAGUAUUUAGAGAAGUGUCUGUCUGUCCUCACUCUCAUCCCAGUAAGUGUCCAACAAAUAUUUUUGUUGUUUCCAUUUCCUCUCCAAAUCCAUGUGGAAAGACAUUAGUGUCUGUCACUGAGGUUCAGCUCAAUCAGAAGUCAAGCCAAGCCCCACUGACCCAGGAAAGAAAAACCCUGACUUUCUCAGAACUUCUUUUAGGGCAUUUAUUACUUUCUACGUUCCUCUGUUCACUGUUCCCAUUGCUCACUCCUCAGACCCUUUGAGUGGGUGUGUGACUUUUUGCCCCCAUCAUUCUAUUAAAACUGCACGUGUUUUAGAGGAAGUAAACUAUAAAGGGUUCUUCGGACAGUUAAAAGUGAUGUGAUGCAUUUAGAAAGGGAGAGAAUUUUUAAAACCCAGAACAACGAUCAAUUCUAUUUCAACUUGCAAUAUACAGUUAACAGCAUUAGGUGUAAGUGAGAAGUGGAAUAAGCCUGAUUAUAUGAGACUGUUACUAUAUUUCUGAAAAAGAUGUUUCUUCUUUCCUUCAUGAUUGCAUUUUCAGUUACCACCUGUCUUCUUGGAUAGAAAUAACUUCCUUUCUCUGAAGCUGUUGGGUUUCUCCGGGAGCUGGGAGGUUCUGCACCUUGCGUGUGACUGCUUUCCUCAGUUCAGUAAAGAGAUCAGUCACCAAGUCACCCUUUCCUCUCCAGUGAUAGCUGCCACCUCUCGUUUUCACAAGAAAUGAUAAAGCAAAUGAGUCAGCCCCCAGGACACCUCAAGAGUGGCACGCAAUGCUCAGGCGAACCUCAACUUGAGCUGGUGCUAAAGAGUUUUAGAAAAAGCCUUCAGAAACCCUUCCUCCAGAAAUAAAGGCAUGAAUCUGCCUUCCUUUCUUCCCCCCUCUCUCUCCAUUGGCCUUUUAACGGCUUUCCAGAUUUCAUUGAACUUUUUAAAAACACGAAGUUAUGAUUUUUAGUUUGAAUAAAAAAGCAGUGAUAUAGUAGUCUGUGAUCUUCCCCUUUAAGGUAAGAAUCUGCAUAAUUAUGUGUAAAGAGAAGGUGUUUUGAAUUGUAGAGGAGAGAAGGUGUGUUUAUUCUCCUAACUGUCAGUUACUUUGCAGUCAGUUACUUUGCAGUCAGUUACUUUGCAGUCAAGUAUAGGACUAGAAAGGGCUUUUUGCUUAUGCGCUUGGUUGGUUUGUUUCAAUGACUGUUUUUAAACAGUGAUAGGUUAUGUCCUCUGUUGUUUUCCUAACUACAUUUUUAAAUAUCACAACAAUUUCUGUUUUAAGUACUUGGAAUGAUAUGUACAAUAAAAUAAUUGUUAAAUAAUAGGAGAAAAACAAAAGAUGCGACUGAGAAAUUCUAAAUGAAACCCACAUCUAAACUACUUUUUUGACCAGCUUUGUAAAUAAUCGCUUGUUUAUAAAGGUGUUAAUUUAUAUUGUAGGAGGGAGAAGGAUUUUAGUUCCUUUGAACUUUUAUUAUUAUCCUUGUUUGUGUACACUAGAAAGAAAGCAAACCAAUAGCAUUGAAAUUGUUUAGUCAUUAAUUAUGGUAUUCCGUGAUCAUUCCUUUCCAAGAGUUCAGUGCACUAUCAUCUGACUGGGUAAAGUGAAGCGGUGGAGACCAGAACUUGGGCAGCAGGAAAGUGGAUAAAGGUGCUAGAAAAGAAAACUGUGAUAUUAGAGAAACUGGUUUAGCCCAGUAGAGAGGCUAGAAAAAGUCAACUGCAUAUUUGCCCAAAGCAUCCACCUUAAAAAAAAACAAAACAGAUUUUAAUCAAUUGAACAGGUAGGACUUCGGUUGGAAUGUUUAUUUUUGUCUAUUCAUUUAUUCUUUAUAAUCAGUCAGAUAAAAUGGUUUGGAUUAGGUACCGUUAUGCUUGUAUAUUUGAGCAAAUCAAUAUCCACAAUAAAAGUGUUGUAAGAUGAUAAGAAAUGCCAAACUGGCCCAGAUCUACGAUCCAUCCACCCUAAUUUCACCUGUUUCAGACUGAUCUGGAGUCAACAUGCGCUAUGACCUGGUGGCUGCCCUCCAGACAACUUCUUAAGUUUAGGGAGAGCCUGUAAACAGUGCUGAUAACAGUGCCUGGCAAAUGUGUGGCUUGCGGGUGAUUCAUGUUUGCUGCACAAAUGAAUGAGCCAGAAAGUAACCGUCAUAUACUUACCGCCAUUCCCCUGAAGCUAGUCUUAGUUUAUGUUACCAACUGUGCAUGAUAAGUUCUUUGUUUUAAGUGUCUUAUAUUACCUUAAAAAUUACUUAUCUCCAGCAUCAAGAAUUCCUCCCCCCUCAACUUUGGUAUUCCAGGAUUUGACCUGAUUAAAGUUUAAGACAGAGAAAAAUGCUCUGCCACCUGGUUGAUGUACUCCCUGCCUCAGCUGAACCCGUUUCCCUCAGAAGUGGAAGAAUUCUGGCUUUGGUUGCAAACAACAUUCCGGUAAGAAAACCAAUUGUGUACCAGGGUGUUUACUGCAUGGCCUACCCUGAAGGAUAAAUGUUAACUAGUUAUUACUGCUCCUUAAUACCAGCGAUGUUACAAGAUUAACAGGAGUAGAUAAGAAAGAGAAGCAUGAUUUAUAAGUGAUGCUGGCAGAAGGGUAAUUACAGGGGAAUGAGCUAUUGUUAUGUGGUAAUGGUUUAUUACAAUAGACCCUAACAAGGCCAUUAUAGUAUAUAUUAAUGCUAUUUUCAAAGGCCUGGAGGGACAAAAAAAGGGAGGAAGCAGAAGCUCAUCCUUUGGCGAACAGAAUUUGUUGACAGACACACUCACUAUCGUAUUUUGCAAUUUCCAGGAACUAGAAGUGGAUGAUUAGUUGCAUCUGUUGUGAGUAUACGGGCGUGACGAGUGGGAGCACUUUGCUGUAUACUUGCUAUCCCAGGCUAGACGAAUCAGAGAAUUUGGCUUAUUCUUUUGGGUAGAAACAUAAUAAGAGAAUAGAUCCAGCUGGGUUUUUUAAAAUAAAGCAACAUACUAGAUAAAGCAGGACACAGCGUAAGAUUCUCUGAUUGAAACAGCUCUAUGGUGAGACUGUAGGAGUUUGACCCCACUGACCUGAAGCAAUGUGGGCUUCAGAGAUUAAGAGAGAGCUCUAGAGUGACUUCUCUCCAAUCUAGCAGUUUGGUCAUGGGUUAAGUAAAUUCACACUGAGUGUGUCCAAAGAAAAACCAGUCUCUCAUGGACUUAAUUACACAGGAUAACAAGUAGCAAACUGUAAGAACGCUACACCUCCCCCCCACCGAACUUUCUAAUUUCUGGUAGAGGAGGACAUUCUGGGAACAAGGAACCAUGUUAGAUCUGCAUACUCACACCUAUCCCACACCAAAAAGUUUGCAUUGCUUUGACAGUGCAUUGGUUAAAAAAAAAAAAAAAAAAUCCUACCUCUGCUUCUCCUCAGGAGGGAUAAACUUUCAACAGAUUGGCAACAUUAAGAGAAUUCCUUCAGGAAGUACUUCAACUAGCAAGGAUUGGUGUUUUCAAAAUGCCUUGUAUUAUCUUCAAGGGUAUUUGUUCCCCUGGCUCCCUCCCUGUGGGGUUGCUUCAAGCCGGCAGCCCUCCCUAGAGAUGUUUAGAAAGAACUCUCUUCUUUCAGGUGCUGGCAGUUGUCCCCUCUCCGACAUAAAUAUAAGCUCUGUUGUUACCAGUCCCAGGUUACUGCACUAUCCCUUGUGACCCCCCCCUUCAUUAAGCCCCCCCUUAAAUUAUCAUAAAUUGGGAAAGCCAUCUUUUUCCUCCCAAGAUCCUGACACAUCACCUAAUAUCAUGAAAAAAUAUGAGUCAUCUUCAGCGUGAAGUGAGAGUUUUGUAAGUAAGAGCUGUCUGAGAAGGAGAGUGAGACAGAGGCAGGGAGAUGGCCCACUAGUGGAUCACCCACCUUGUGAUGGGGCUUUGGACUCAGUCCUGGUAGAAUAUGAGUGCAGUCCGUGGACCAGGUAGAAUGAGAGACACCAGGGUCCCUGCUAGCCCAGUGGGACCCACUGCCUGGGAAUGGCUUGGUCUGCUGCAUUUGGAAGUCUGUCUUCUUUAUUUCCAUGUAGGAUCAUUUAAUACUGUAACACUUUCCUUGGGAAUCUACCACAAAACUCCUCUACUUUCUUUUGGUAACGUCAACAUCUUUUCAGUCAGAGGUCUUCUUUUUGUUCUUCCUAAAGUUAACCUAAGGUGUGAGAUCACAGCAGCAUCCACACCCUACUCCCUGCUGAAUCUGGGAUCAGAGCUGUAGGAUCUUCCGGUUACAAGAGCGGUGUGAAGCUGUGGACUACAGCUUCCCCCUCUCACACACAGUAAGCUGAGGUUUCUGUAGCCAGAGGUGGAAGGCCUUCCUUCAAAGCCCACAGCUCGUGGUUAUUGGGAGUGUUAGAGCCUGUGAAACCCACAGCCCUGUUUUCCCUGGCCUAAUCUUUCUGGCCAGAGACUUUGGACUUGACAUGUGACAUCACUCAGACUAGAGGCCUGAGGGGCAAAGGCCUCCAUGGGGAGUUUUGGAGAAUGAAUAGGGAGAAGAGAAGAACCCAAAAGAGGGAAAAGGUUUUUAAUUCCUGUGGGAAUUUUUUGAGGUAUACUUUGAGGACUGUGCCUUACUGAGAAUCCGACAAUCCAGCCACCAAAAAUUCCUACUGGUUUUUUUAAUAGGGUGGACAUUUUCAGCAAAUAGUCAGGAACCAGGGUUAUGUAGGAGGCAGUAGCCCAGAAAAGCAGUUCACUUCCUCCCUUGCUUUGCUUUAGUCACGCCCAGUAAAUGAGGGCACCAGGGGGCUCACGGGCAGGUGUGUGCAGGGCUGAGCCCGGCUUAAGCUUUGACCUGCUAGUAACCAGAAAUAAUCCUUUGAGUGGAGCCAGUAAAUGUUGUCAUUUGCUAUCAUUCCUUGCAUUCCAGGAUUAUUCACAGCAAUUAGAAUUUAUUCUUCAUGUAAUAUGGCUGGUAUUUAAGACUAAUAUUUUAAUUUUAAAUGUGGCACAACUUGAGAGGCAGAAUACUUUUGUGAGCCCCUUCAGUAAGAGACACUUCAUUAACCAUUUGAAAUAAAAAUCAGCAAUACUGAAGCGGUCUUCUUGUUAGUUUAAUUUUAUCUCCUUUGUAUCUUCAUUUUGUAAGGUUCUUCUGUGUGUAAGUUUCUACUAACUCCAAGGGCAGGUCUUGAGCUUUACAAGCUAUUGGAAGUAGGCAGGAAAAAGUACAGGACAACUGCUUUUAGUAACGUGCAUGUUUGGAGGGACGUACUUUCAUGCAGUGUAUUAGUUUGCUAGGGCUACUGUAACAAAGUACUGCAAAUGGGGUGGCUUAGAAUGACAGAAAUGUAUUGUCUUGUAGGUCUGGAGGCCAGCAGUCUGAAAGCAAGGUGUCAGCUCGGCCAUGCUCCUUCUGAAGGCUCUAGGGAAGGGUCUGUUACGGGUUUCUCUCCUAGUUUCUGGUAGCUUCCAGAAUUCCUUGGCUUGUACAUGGCCAUCUUCUCCUUGUGUCUCUUUACAUCGUAUUCCUCUGUGUAUGUCUGUGUCCAUGUUUCCCCCUUUUAUGAGGACAUCAGUCAUACUGGAAUAAAGCCCACCCUAAUGACCCCAUUUUAACUCUGUAAAGACCCUGUCUUCAAAUAAAGUCACAUUCAUUCUAAGGUCCUAGGGAUUAAGACUUCAACAUAUCUUUUGGUAGGGGACACAGUUCAACCCAUAACUAUACAGCCUGCUGAAACUGUGAAUGGGGUUACUACUCAUGGUUGCUGAGCUACUCAGAACUAAACAUUCUGACUGGGACUUUUCCCCAGCUCAUCGAGGGCCCACCUUUGUUUAGUGUGCUGUUUACCACAAGUUAGGAUACAACCGUGUGUUUAAAAUUAGUGGUCUUGAGGUGUGUGCUGGUGGGGCUUGCUGUUUUUUCUCUGGCCUUUCUGAGUUUCAUGUGCAAGCGAGACACUGCUCAAAAAUCAAUGACUUUGGUGUGCUUGUCUUAUACUCUUCAGUCGUAAGAUCAUGGCUUCAGGCAGAGCUGCAAGAGCUGAAAAGUCACAAGACAGAAAGGACUGCACGUUUUUGGAAAUUUGUUAUAAAAUAAACAACUUUGCAUUUUGUUCUUA